rnacentral:rRNA from 1 species
UGGCUCAGGAUGAACGCUGGCGGCGUGCCUAACACAUGCAAGUCGAACGAGAUGCGUAUUGGAAAGCUUCGGCCGGAAGAUGCGUUAUCUAGUGGCGGACGGGUGAGUAACGCGUAUGCAACUUGCCUCACAGAGGGGGAUAACCCGUCGAAAGACGGACUAAUACCGCGUACACUCCAUCUUGGGCAUCCAAGGUAGAGGAAAUGAAAUUCGCUGUGAGAUAGGCAUGCGUCCCAUUAGCUAGUUGGUGAGGUAACGGCUCACCAAGGCAACGAUGGGUAGGGGAACUGAGAGGUUGAACCCCCACACUGGUACUGAGACACGGACCAGACUCCUACGGGAGGCAGCAGUGAGGAAUAUUGGUCAAUGGGCGAGAGCCUGAACCAGCCAAGUCGCGUGAAGGAUGACUGUCUUAUGGAUUGUAAACUUCUUUUAUACGGGAAUAACAAGAGCCACGUGUGGCUCCCUGCAUGUACCGUAUGAAUAAGCAUCGGCUAACUCCGUGCCAGCAGCCGCGGUAAUACGGAGGAUGCGAGCGUUAUCCGGAUUUAUUGGGUUUAAAGGGUGCGUAGGCGGCCUGUUAAGUCAGCGGUGAAAUCUAGGAGCUUAACUCCUAAAUUGCCAUUGAUACUGGCGGGCUUGAGUGUAGAUGAGGUAGGCGGAAUGCGUGGUGUAGCGGUGGAAUGCAUAGAUAUCACGCAGAACUCCGAUUGCGAAGGCAGCUUACUAAAGUACAACUGACGCUGAAGCACGAAAGCGUGGGUAUCAAACAGGAUUAGAUACCCU